rnacentral:rRNA from 1 species
CAAUGGGCGCAAGCCUGAUGCAGCGACGCCGCGUGAGGGAUGACGGCCUUCGGGUUGUAAACCUCUUUCAGUAGGGAAGAAGCGAAAGUGACGGUACCUGCAGAAGAAGCGCCGGCUAACUACGUGCCAGCAGCCGCGGUAAUACGUAGGGCGCAAGCGUUAUCCGGAAUUAUUGGGCGUAAAGAGCUCGUAGGCGGUUUGUCGCGUCUGCCGUGAAAGUCCGGGGCUCAACUCCGGAUCUGCGGUGGGUACGGGCAGACUAGAGUGAUGUAGGGGAGACUGGAAUUCCUGGUGUAGCGGUGAAAUGCGCAGAUAUCAGGAGGAACACCGAUGGCGAAGGCAGGUCUCUGGGCAUUAACUGACGCUGAGGAGCGAAAGCAUGGGGAGCGAACAGGAUUAGAUACCCUGGUAGUCCAUGCCGUAAACGUUGGGCACUAGGUGUGGGGGACAUUCCACGUUUUCCGCGCCGUAGCUAACGCAUUAAGUGCCCCGCCUGGGGAGU